UGGAAAUGGAUGGAAAUCAGUGUGCUAAGUGAGAACUGCUGCAGAAACCAAGACUCUGACUGCAAAGAAAACUACAUUGUAGCUCCUGGUGGUAGGGUCACCAGACCAUUGGAGAGGAAAGACAGUGUGCAUGAAGGAGUGUAUGUGACGAAGCAGGAAACCGACAAGAGGCAGAGUCGUGUGAGUCUGAUCCUGGCCUGUUCAUUCCAGACAUCCUGCCCGGUGAACAUAAAACUAGAGAGAGAGAAUAGCACGCAGGAGCUCUGACAGGACCGAGUGGUCCAUAUGGACAUCAAACUCAGCAGGAUCGCACCGCCAGACUUUCCUCCUCUGGCACAGAGAGCUUUUGAGCACUGUUUGAUAAUAUUCCAAAAAGAGAAGGAGAAGCCACAUCUCCCAAAUGUUCUGCCUAAGUCCUGGGAAAUGACUAAAGCGUUUACCCUGACUCCAGGAACUGUUACAGAUGGGAGCCCGGUGCCAUGCCUUGUUCAUUUAGAGUCAUCAGGAUGGAGAUGUCUCGACAGGCCUGGCGUGUCCAUAGCUAGACACAGACUCGUUCACAGCAUCAGAGAACACACCUGGCCAUUCCAGAAAGUGAUUGCUGUCUGGAUGUGGUGCUGCCUGCCCAUAAUCCCUGCUCCCUGGGUUCUGAGGCAAGGGAGUCAUGGCCUGCACUGCCUGGUGAGAUGCUGUCUCAGAAAAUAAAAGGCGA
rnacentral:lncRNA from 1 species